rnacentral:rRNA from 1 species
CUGGCGGCGUGCCUAAUACAUGCAAGUCGAACGGUCUUUCUAUGGAAGCUUGCUUCCACUGAGAAGAUAGUGGCGAACGGGUGAGUAACACGUGGGUAACCUGCCCAUAAGAGGGGGAUAACAUCCGGAAACGGGUGCUAAUACCGCAUAGUUUUCUUGAUCGCAUGAUCGGGAAAGGAAAGACGGCCUUUGUGCUGUCGCUUAUGGAUGGACCCGCGGCGUAUUAGUUAGUUGGUGAGGUAACGGCUCACCAAGACGAUGAUACGUAGCCGACCUGAGAGGGUGAUCGGCCACAUUGGGACUGAGACACGGCCCAAACUCCUACGGGAGGCAGCAGUAGGGAAUCUUCCGCAAUGGACGAAAGUCUGACGGAGCAACGCCGCGUGAGUGAAGAAAAGGGUUUUCGGAUCGUAAAACUCUGUUGUCAGAGAAGAACAAGUUGGAGAGUAACUGCUCCAGCCUUGACGGUAUCUGACCAGAAAGCCACGGCUAACUACGUGCCAGCAGCGGC